CCCUACUGCUAUCGGGGUGGGACUAAGACAUGCAAGUUGUGCGUCUCUAAGCUAUGGUAGAGACGCAGCGUACGGCUCAGUAAUACGUGGCUAACCUACCCUUAGGACGGGGACAACCCCGGGAAACUGGGGCUAAUACCCGAUAGGUGAGGAGGCCUGGAAUGGUUCCUAGUCGAAAAGGCGUUGAAACCAUGCUUUUCGACGUCGCCUAAGGAUGGGGCCGCGCCCGAUCAGGUUGUUGGUGGGGUAACGGCUCACCAAGCCUAUAACCGGUACGGGCCGUGAGAGCGGGAGCCCGGAGAUGGGCACUGAGACAAGGGCCCAGGCCCUACGGGGCGCAGCAGUCGCGAAAACUCCGCAAUGCGCGAAAGCGUGACGGGGCUAUCCCGAGUGCCGUCCGCUGAGGAUGGCUUUUCCCCGGUGUAAUGAGCCGGGGGAAUAAGGAGAGGGCAAGUCUGGUGUCAGCCGCCGCGGUAAUACCAGCUCUCCGAGUGGUAGGGAUGAUUAUUGGGCUUAAAGCGUCCGUAGCCGGCUUAGCAAGUCUCCUGUUAAAUUCAGCGACCUAAUCGUUGAGCCGCGGGAGAUACUACUAGGCUAGGAGGCGGGAGAAGCCGACGGUAUUCUCGGGGUAGGGGUGAAAUCCUGUAAUCCCGGGAGGACCACCAGUGGCGAAGGCGGUCGGCUAGAACGCGCUCGACGGUGAGGGACGAAAGCUGGGGUAGCGAACCGGAUUAGAAACCCGGAUAGUCCCAGCUGUAAACGAUGCGGGCUAGGUGUUGGGGUGGCUACGGGCCACUUCAGUGCCGCAUGGAAGCAAUUAAGCCCGCCGCCUGGGGAGUACGGCCGCAAGGCUGAAACUUAAAGGAAUUGGCGGGGGAGCACCACAAGGCGUGAAGCUUGCGGUUU
rnacentral:rRNA from 1 species